UGAAUACGAGACGCUAAGGCGUCGAAGUAGUGUAUGUCAUACUUCCAAGAAAAGCUUGCACUGUCAUAGAUAAAAAACGCCUGUACCAUAACCGACACAGGUGGGUAGGUAGAGUAUACUAAGGGGCGCGAGAUAACUCUCUCUAAGGAACUCGGCAAAAUAACUCCGUAACUUCGGGAGAAGGAGUGCCUUAUUCGUAAGGUUGCAAUAACAAGAUCCAAGCAACUGUUUAUCAAAAACACAGGUCUCCGCUAAGUCGUAAGACGAUGUAUGGGGGCUGACGCCUGCCCAGUGCCAGAAGGUUAAAGAAGUUGGUUAGCAAUUGCGAAGCUGAUAACUGAAGCCCUGGUGAACGGCGGCCGUAACAAUAACGGUCCUAAGGUAGCGAAAUUCCUUGUCGGGUAAGUUCCGACCCGCACGAAAGGCGUAAUGAUUUGGAUACUGUCUCGGAGAGGGGCUCGGUGAAAUAGACUUGUCUGUGAAGAUGCGGACUACCUGCACCAGGACAGAAAGACCCUAUGAAGCUUUACUGUAACUUGAAAUUGAAAUUGGACUUUAUUCGCGCAGUAUAGGUGGGAGGCGUUGAUUAUAAUCUUGUGGGAUUAUUGGAGCCAUCAGUGAGAUACCACUCUUGUAAUGUUAGAUUUCUAACUUUGAAUCAUUAUCUGGUCAAAGAACAGUUUCAGGCGGGCAGUUUGACUGGGGCAGUCGCCUCCUAAACGGUAACGGAGGCGUACAAAGGUUUCCUCUGAACGGUUAGAAAUCGUAUCUAGAGUGUAAAGGCAUAAGGAAGCUUGACUGUGAGACCUACAAGUCGAGCAGGGACGAAAGUCGGUCUUAGUGAUCUGACGGUACUGAGUGGAAAGGCCGUCACUCAACGGAUAAAAGUUACUCUAGGAUAACAGGCUGAUCUCCCCCAAGAGUUCACAUCGACGGGGAGGUUUGGCACCUCGAUGUCGGCUCAUCGCAUCCUGGGGCGGUAGUACGUCCCAAGGGUUGGGCUGUUCGCCCAUGAAAGCGGUACGCGAGCUGGGUUCAGAACGUCGUGAGACAGUUCGGUCCAUAUCCGGUGUAGGCGUUAGAAUAUUGAGAGGAGCCUUCUUUAGUACGAGAGGACCGAGAAGGACAUACCUCUGGUGUACCAGUUAUCGUGCCAACGGUAAACGCUGGGUAGCUAUGUAUGGAGUGGAUAACCGCUGAAAGCAUCUAAGUGGGAAGCCCACCUCAAGAUAAGUAUUCUC
rnacentral:rRNA from 1 species